GAUAACCGCUGGCGGCGUGCCUAAUACAUGCAAGUCGAGCGAACAGACGAGCAGCUUUCUCCUCUGACGUUAUCGGCGGACGUGUGAGUCACACUUGGCUCACCUCCCUAUACGACUGGGAUAACUUCGGGACACCGGCGCUACUACCGGAUAAUAUAUUGAACCGCAUGGUUCAAUAGUGAAAGACGGUUUUGCUGUCACUUAUAGAUGGAUCCGCGCCGCAUUAGCUAGUUGGUAAGGUAACGGCUUACCAAGGCGACGAUGCGUAGCCGACCUGAGAGGGUGAUCGACCACACUGGAACUGAGACACGGUCCAGACUCAGACGAAAGGCACCAGACGGAGAACUGCGGCAAUGGGCGAAAGGCUGACGGAGGAACACCGCGUGUGUGAUGGAAGUGUUCGGAACGGAAGACAGUGGUGGUAGGGGAGAACAGAUGUGUAAGUAACUGUGCAGGUCUUGAGGGUACCUAAUCAGAAGGCCACGGCUAGCUACGUG
rnacentral:rRNA from 1 species